rnacentral:rRNA from 1 species
UGGGGAAUAUUGGACAAUGGGCGCAAGCCUGAUCCAGCCAUGCCGCGUGUGUGAAGAAGGCCUUUUGGUUGUAAAGCACUUUAAGCGAGGAGGAGGCUACUUGGAUUAAUACUCUAGGAUAGUGGACGUUACUCGCAGAAUAAGCACCGGCUAACUCUGUGCCAGCAGCCGCGGUAAUACAGAGGGUGCGAGCGUUAAUCGGAUUUACUGGGCGUAAAGCGUGCGUAGGCGGCUUCUUAAGUCGGAUGUGAAAUCCCUGAGCUUAACUUAGGAAUUGCAUUCGAUACGGGGAAGCUAGAGUAUGGGAGAGGAUGGUAGAAUUCCAGGUGGAACGGUGAAAUGCGUAGAGAUCUAGAGGAAUGCCGAUGGCGAAGGCAGCCAUCUGGCCUAAUACUGACGCUGAGGUACGAAAGCAUGGGGAGCAAACAGG